rnacentral:rRNA from 1 species
GGGAUAUUGCACAAUGGGGGAAACCCUGAUGCAGCGACGCCGCGUGGGCGAAGAAGUAUUUCGGUAUGUAAAGCUCUAUCAGCAGGGAAGAAGAAAGACGGUACCUGACUAAGAAGCCCCGGCUAACUACGUGCCAGCAGCCGCGGUAAUACGUAGGGGGCAAGCGUUAUCCGGAUUUACUGGGUGUAAAGGGGGCGUAGACGGCUGUGCAAGUCUGAAGUGAAAGCCCGUGGCUCAACCGCGGAACUGCUUUGGAAACUGUAUAGCUUGAGUACUGGAGAGGCAGGCGGAAUUCCUAGUGUAGCGGUGAAAUGCGUAGAUAUUAGGAGGAACACCAGUGGCGAAGGCGGCCUGCUGGACAGAAACUGACGUUGAGGCUCGAAAGCGUGGGGAGCAAACAG